ACGGCCAAACCAUGCUGAAUAUACCGGUUCUCGUUAGAUCACCGAAGUAAAGCAUCAUUGGGCGCGGUCAGUACUUGACCACCUGGGAACACUGCGUGCCGCUG